AGGGGGCAGCUGGUUGAGGUGCGCAUGCGCACUGGCACCUAACGGCUCUUCUUCGAGUCUUCUCAGAGGUUGGAGAUUCCCUGUCUUCUCCAACCUCUGCCAAGUCUUCAGAGAGGUUGGAGUGCGCCUGUCGGAGGUACUAGACCCCAGAUGAGGAUCUCAGGAAGAUCCACAAAGCUGCGUCCAGGGGAACGAACGUGUGGAAGCUGCAGCGGAGCCUCCUGCUCAAGAGUAAAGGACCGGUCUGAAACCUACAAGAACAGAUUCUCACAGUAGACGAGGAGCCUGUUUUUCAGCUAGCUGCUGCAAGGAGCUGGACAUUUCUCCCUUCAAAUAGGACCUGGAAGGCCUGGAAGCAUCUGGAGAAGGGCAUGGCUGUGAGUAGAGAAACAGAGGAUACAGGCUAAAGCAGGAGGAAGCGAGAGGACUCACGGAAAGCCUUGCUGCACUCUCCAAAAGAGCUGCCCUUUUCACGUGAAGAGCUAUGUGAUCGGAUCCCCGGUUUGGCAGAGUAGACAUGCGAGAAGACUGAACGUUUCAUCGUUGAAACCUCUUAAAGGUGGAAUGUGUGGCAGAAAGAACGUCUGAGAAGCUCACGCGAUUUGCAGAAGGAACAUUUGUAGAAGAUUCCCUGUUUUCCGAAGGAAUGUCAAGUUCCAAAGGACACAUAUUGCUUGUCUCUGAACUUCUCAGCUGCCUGCAGAUCUUCCUGUUUUUCAGCUGCAGUUAGGGUUUGUCUGAGGAGAAGCAUAACAUCCCUCCAGGCCAAAUGCUCCACAAAUAAAUGUGUUGAAUGAAUGAACAAAUGAAUAAGCGAAGUGAAUGGAACAUCAAACUGCAUAAAAAUAUAUUUAUUCAUAAAUGAGAGGUGAUGAUUGCCAACAUAUCAUAAUCAGACUCUGACCUUGGUUACUUAUGAGUUUGACAACGAAGAGGAAAGAGGAUCAGGUAAGUCCCUAAACACCGAAGAUGUACUGAGACCUUUCCACAUGCCCAAAGAAGAUACUCUUGCAGAGGAGAAAUGAUGAAGAGGCCCAGUCACAGAUGCAGGAGGAAGUUUAAUUGACUGAAUUUGUCUAGGAUGGGAGGGAUUAAAUGAGGUUUGAAAUGAAAUAGAAAUUGCUAAACUCCUGACUAGACAAUUACUGCCAUCCAUCUCUUACAUGUGCCCCUAAAUAAGCACUAACAGUGCCUUGGGCAGAGACCCCAGUGACUACCUAAUAGUAGCCUUCAAGAGCAUCACUUCCCACUCUCCUGCCCUGCCUCACUUUCCUCCUAGGUCUUAUGGGAUGGAUGAUAGAUGUCAUUCCCUGGUUCCCUAACGCUCAAGUCUAGCCCCUCAUUUCCUGGCAAGCAUCAAGCUUGAUUGUGUCUGUAACCUCUCAGAAGUCAGACCUCAGAAGUGUGCUUUUCUGGGAAAUCGGGGUCAGGGAGGAAAGAAGGAGGGAAUAAAGACAUUGUAAUAGAUUUAUAUAUAUCAUUGUAACUCAUCCACACAACAAUCCUGUAAGGUGUGGCCACUGUACUCAGAAAACUGAGGCUCAAAGAGAUUGAGUAACUUACCAAAACUUCACAUGUACUAAAAGUGGAGCCUAGAUUUCAAACACCUGUAAGACUCUGAAAUCUAUAUUAGCUCUUCUAUACAUGAGCCUAAAAUGCAACUGUAAACCAAUAAGACUGACUUCCUCUUGAGGCUUAUCACUAGCUCUGAAUAGAAGCAUUCCCAAAUGCUGUCUAAGCAAUUGUUGCGUCAUGGGAAUAAGUUGAUAAAUUCUCAGGGUUACAUACUCCUUUAGAUGCACUGGAACUUUUCUCAGUAUGUAGAAUCAAGUGUAAGGAAAAAGGAUUUGAAGGGGAAGGGGAGAAAUAAAACAGGACUGAGCCUUACACGUGUUGACCAGAACAGAUAAUGUUUGGAUUUUCUUUACUUUUUUCCCAGAGAAAUCGAAUAAAGAAGUUUGUUUCUGUUACCUAAAA
rnacentral:lncRNA from 1 species